UACGGGGGGAGCAAGCGUUGUUCGGAUUUACUGGGCGUAAAGGGCGCGUAGGCGGCCACCGCAAGUCGACUGUGAAAUCUCCGGGCUUAACCCGGAAGGUCAGCCGAUACUGCGGGGCUAGAGUGCAGAAGGGGCAACUGGAAUUCUCGGUGUAGCGGUGAAAUGCGUAGAUAUCGAGAGGAACACCUGCGGCGAAGGCGGGUUGCUGGGCUGACACGUGACGCUGGAGGCGCGAAAGCUAGGGGAGCGAACGGG
rnacentral:rRNA from 1 species